CAGAACUAACAUGAUACCCACAGUAAUGGCGAAUGACAGGGAUGAGCUCAGCAUGGAAAUUGGGGCCUGUGGCUUUGACUUGUAAUCUGUUGAAGCAUUGCCAACAGAGGCGCAGAUGUAUGUCUCUUGGACGAGCACCCGUGAAUGUGAGAGUCCGACUUGCCAUUUGCAGCCCCCUGUGCACGGUGUGAUUACUAAGAGUCACGUUCCUUGGGAUUGGAGCGCAAAGAGGGUGGUAACUUUCAUCUGAAGCUAAACAUUGGUUUUGGGACCGAUAGGAAACAAGUACCAUGAGGGAAAGGUGAAAAGGACUUUGGAAAGAGAGUUAAACGUGCCUGAAAUUGCUGAAGGGGAAGCGAAUGGAACCAGUGUGUUGGGUGAGAUUGUCUCACAUCACAAGGAUUGGUUGUUGCUUGGGCGUAAGCGAUCUGGCAACCCUUGAAUUGUGAAUGUGUGGUGUGUCUUGCCUUGCAUGCCAUUGUGGGCUGUUUGCAUUAAGACAAUUCAAAUUUCAUGAAAUCAUGUAUCCGAAUGUGUGAAUGUGGUUUGUUAUGUUUGUGCAAAAGCUUAUUGCUGUGUGUCUGGUCGCAGAGCUUGCCACCCGAACGGUGUUGCAGGUGGGUAAGCAGUCCSMAACAUGCACUUGACUAAAUGUUCAUGCCG
rnacentral:rRNA from 1 species